GCCCUCUUAGCUCAGUGGUAGAGCGUUCCACUCGUAGAAUAACGACUGACACAUUCAGUUGUUGACCUAUGGAAAGGUCGGUUGUUCAAUCCAGCCAGGGGGCA